rnacentral:misc_RNA from 1 species
GGAAGGAUCAUUACAAAUCAUUGCGAGCCCGUUGUCAAUAAUAACAGGUUACUGUUGUCAUUGACAAUAAUGGGGUGAGCACAUUGGCACAGGACUAGCGGCAGCUGGCUUGCUUGUUUGCUCGCUAGUCUUGAUGUUUACGCUUGCUUGUUUGACAAAGUUAUCAUGUGACCUAAAUAUAGACAACUUUUAACAAUGGAUCUCUUGGCUCUUGCAACGAUGAAGAACGCAGUAAAGUGCGAUAUGUAGUGCGAUUUGCAUGAAUCUGUGAGUCAUCUAAUCUUUGAACGCAACUUGCGCCUCUUUGAGGCAUGUCUGUUUGAGUGCCGCAUACCUCUAUGCAGCAAUGCGAUUUGACUCGUGUCUCCGGACUGCAGUCUAAACGUAGCCAGAUGGUGGCCAGUGUCCCACUAGUCCGAGUGCUAAGCAUUCUUGGCUCUAGUGGCGCUGGCUGCUUCAACACAUUUUACUAUUUGGCCUCAAAUCAGGCAAGACUACCCGCUGAACUUAAGCAUAUCAGUAAGCGGAGGAAAAGAAACUAACAAGGAUUCCCCUAGUAACGGCGAGUGAAGCGGGAAGAGCUCAAAUUUAAAAUCUCGGCGCUCUGCGUCGCGAAUUGUAGUCUAAAGGAGGUGAUCUAGGGUGGAAUGGGUGCUCAAGUACCUUGGAAUAGGACGCCAGAGAGGGUGAGAGCCCCGUAACAGCAUUCGUUCUACCUCAAGUGAGAACCUUUCAAAGAGUCGAGUUGCUUGGGAAUGCAGCUCAAAGUGGGUGGUAAAUCUCAUCUAAGGCUAAAUAUUGGCAAGAGACCGAUAGCGAACAAGUACCGUGAGGGAAAGAUGAAAAGCACCUUGAAAAGGGAGUUAAAUAGUGCGUGAAAUUGUUAAAAGGGAAACGAUAGAGACCAGUGUUGGUGUGUACUUUAACUUGGUGCCUUGGUGCCAAGAGCGAGUAUACAUCGAGUCAAUGCCAGUUGUGGCAGUCACAUAUGAUUCAGUUCAAGGUGGGGUCAACUUUGGUCGGCUCUUUAUAGGCUCUGAAUUCUGCGGCCGCUGCGACUGGAAGUCUGGGAACGCUCGUCGAUUUGGCGGAAACGGCAGGCGGACAACAUGUUGACCGUCUGCUCUCACUGUCAAUGAAGCAAAGCCGACUUGGACGCCUUUGACGAAAUGGUCUUUAACGACCCGUCUUGAAACACGGACCAAGGAGUCUAACAAUCUUGCGAGCAUUAGAGUGGCAAACUCAAGAUGCGCAAUGAAAGUAAAAGCCUGCGAACCUCGGUGCAGCAGGGACCGGCCUUGAUAUAUUUUGACAGGACCGCGUAAGAGUAAAAUUGUUGGGACCCGAAAGGCGGUGAACUAUGCCUGACUAGGGCGAAGCCAGAGGAAACUCUGGUGGAGGCUCGUAGCCGUUCUGACGUGCAAAUCGAUGGUCAAAGUUGGGUAUAGGGGCGAAAGACUAAUCGAACCGCCUAGUAGCUGGUUCCCUC